rnacentral:rRNA from 1 species
GAUGAACGCUAGCGGCAGGCUUAAUACAUGCAAGUCGAGGGGCAGCAUGAUUGUAGCAAUACAAUUGAUGGCGACCGGCAAACGGGUGCGGAACACGUACACAACCUUCCAAUAAGUGGGGAAUAGCCCAGAGAAAUUUGGAUUAAUACCCCGUAACAUAACGAUGUGGCAUCACAUUGUUAUUAUAGAUUUUUCGCUUAUUGAUGGGUGUGCGGCUGAUUAGAUAGUUGGCGGGGUAACGGCCCACCAAGUCUACGAUCAGUAGCUGAUGUGAGAGCAUGAUCCGCCACACGGGCACUGAGACACGGGCCCGACUCUUACGGGAGGCAGCAGUAAGGAAUAUUGGACAAUGGACGCAAGUCUGAUCCAGCCAUGCCGCGUGAAGGAUUAAGGUCCUCUGGAUUGUAAACUUCUUUUAUAAGGGACGAAAAAAGGCUUUUCUAAGUCGUCUGACGGUACCUUAUGAAUAAGCACCGGCUAACUCCGUGCCAGCAGCCGCCGCAGUAA